rnacentral:lncRNA from 1 species
GGGCCAAAUCUUUUCCUUCUUAUAAAUCAUUUAAAUCUUCUAGUAAUCAUGGCUAUUUCAUUGUCGUUGUUGGAUUCCUCCAACAUAUCACUUUCAUCAUCUUCAACGGCCACAGAUUUUAAGAUAAUUGUUCUUCUUUUCUUCACCUCUUCUUCCAUAUUCUGAUUCAUGCUUAACUCAUGGGUUAUGAGUGAGUCGAUAAGCUUUCUAAAGAUAAUUUAUUGAGAUCUUUAGCUUCUUAAAUUGUAGUCCCUUUGGCUUCCAAAUUUUUUACCAAUAAUCUGAUAAUUUUGAGAACAAGCUCACUAUUAGUAUAGUUCUUACCAAAAUUUUUCAAACUGUUUAUAAUAUC